UUGCCAGCCCGCUCAGAAACUUAAAGGAAUUGACGGGGCCCGCACAAGCGGUGGAGUAUGUGGUCUAAUCGAUGCAACGCGAAGAACCUUACCUGGUCUUGACAUCCCGGAGACCCUUAGGAAACUAGGGGGUGCUUCCAUCUGGAAGAAUCUGGAGACAGGUGCUGCAUGGCUGUCGUCAGCUCGUGUCGUGAGAUGUUGGGUUAAGUCCCGCAACGAGCGCAACCCUUGCCUUUAGUUGCCAGCAGUUCGGCUGGGCACUCUAAAGGGACUGCCGGUGUUAAACCGGAGGAAGGUGGGGAUGACGUCAAGUCCUCAUGGCCUUUAUGACCAGGGCUACACACGUACUACAAUGGCCGAUACAAAGGGCAGCGACACUGCGAGGUGAAGCCAAUCCCGUAAAAUCGGUCUCAGUCCGGAUUGGAGUCUGCAACUCGACUCCAUGAAGUUGGAAUCGCUAGUAAUCGUGGAUCAGCAUGCCACGGUGAAUACGUUCCCGGGCCUU
rnacentral:rRNA from 1 species